CGCAAGCCUGACGGAGCAAGACCGCGUGGGGGAGGAAAGCCUUUGGGUUGUAAACCCCUUUUCUCAGGGAAGAAGAAAGUGACGGUACCUGAGGAAUCAGCAUCGGCUAACUCCGUGCCAGCAGCCGCGGUAAGACGGAGGAUGCAAGCGUUAUCCGGAAUUAUUGGGCGUAAAGCGUCCGUAGGCGGUCAAUCAAGUCUGUCGUUAAAGACUGCAGCUUAACUGUGGGCAAGCGGUGGAAACUGGUUGACUGGAGUACGGUAGGGGUAGAGGGAAUUCCCAGUGUAGCGGUGAAAUGCGUAGAUAUUGGGAAGAACACCAGUGGCGAAGGCGCUCUACUGGGCCGUAACUGACGCUGAGGGACGAAAGCUAGGGGAGCG
rnacentral:rRNA from 1 species